UUUUAGUUUGUUUUGCUUUAAAUCAUCCUGCUGUAUCUGUGCUUAAGGUUGAGUUAUUAGCACAGUGUUAUGACUGGCUAAUAAAGCUGCUUAACCACCAGGGGAAUGGCUCCAUAUCAAAAAGGACUUCAAACUGCCUAGACAAAGGUGGAAAUAUAUUUAUGGCCACUACAGGGCCUCCUCCUCCACAAUAGGAGGUUCCUCCUCUAGCACCUCUGGAUCCUCCUCAAGCACCUGAAAAUGAAUUGUUGAAAAGUAGCUCUGUUUUCACAGAUGUCUUAAUUUAGAAAAAGUGGACUAUACAAACCUCCAGAUUCUCCACAUGUUCGGGUUCUGCCUCAGGCUCGGGUUCAGAUGCAACCUCCUUGGCCUCUGCUGCUACCUCAUGCUCAGGAAGGCUUUUACACUCACACACCUGGUGCAGACGUGUCCUGUGCUGCAGCAGCUUCAAUCACAUCCUCCACAGGAAUGGGGUCUGGCUCUAUAAUAGCUAGGAGGGAAAGACAUGCUUAUAUACAAGGAUAAAGAGAAGAUAUGCAUUAAAAAGUACUGUCCCAUAUUAUAAAA